CCUACGGGAGGCAGCAGUAGGGAAUAUUCCACAAUGGGCGAAAGCCUGAUGGAGCAACGCAGCGUGGGUGAAGAAGGUCUUCGGAUCGUAAAACCCUGUUGUUAGAGAAGAAAGUGCGUGAGAGUAACUGUUCACGUUUCGACGGUAUCUAACCAGAAAGGCACGGCUAACUACGUGCCAGCAGCCGCGGUAAUACGUAGGUGGCAAGCGUUAUCCGGAUUUAUUGGGCUUAAAGGGAACGCAGGCGGUCUUUUAAGUCUGAUGUGAAAGCCUUCGGCUUAACCGUAGUAGUGCAUUGGAAACUGGGAGACUUGAGUGCAGAUGAGGAGAGUGGAACUCCAUGUGUAGCGGUGAAAUGCUUAGAUAUAUGGAAGAACACCAGUGGCGAAAGCAGCUCUCUGGUCUGUAACUGACGCUGAGGUUCGAAAGCGUGGGUAGCAAACAGGAUUAGAUACCCCAGUAGUC
rnacentral:rRNA from 1 species